GGCGUGCUUAACACAUGCAAGUCGAACGAUGAAGCCCAGCUUGCUGGGUGGAUUAGUGGCGAACGGGUGAGUAACACGUGAGUAACCUGCCCUUAACUCUGGGAUAAGCCUGGGAAACUGGGUCUAAUACCGGAUAGGAGCGUCCACCGCAUGGUGGGUGUUGGAAAGAUUUAUCGGUUUUGGAUGGACUCGCGGCCUAUCAGCUUGUUGGUGAGGUAAUGGCUCACCAAGGCGACGACGGGUAGCCGGCCUGAGAGGGUGACCGGCCACACUGGGACUGAGACACGGCCCAGACUCCUACGGGAGGCAGCAGUGGGGAAUAUUGCACAAUGGGCGCAAGCCUGAUGCAGCGACGCCGCGUGAGGGAUGACGGCCUUCGGGUUGUAAACCUCUUUCAGUAGGGAAGAAGCGAAAGUGACGGUACCUGCAGAAGAAGCACCGGCUAACUACGUGCCAGCAGCCGCGGUAAUACGUAGGGUGCGAGCGUUAUCCGGAAUUAUUGGGCGUAAAGAGCUCGUAGGCGGUUUGUCGCGUCUGUCGCGAAAGUCCGGGGCUUAACCCCGGAUCUGCGGUGGGUACGGGCAGACUAGAGUGCAGUAGGGGAGACUGGAAUUCCUGGUGUAGCGGUGGA
rnacentral:rRNA from 1 species